CGGAGAGUUCGGGCCAUGUUCAACAAACGAAUCAACCCCCAUUAAUGCCACAUUUUCCAGCAACUUUCAUGUAUCCUCCGUCGACUAAUGCGGAAAGUUCGGGCCAUGUUCAACAACCGAACCAGCCUCCACCAAUGCCACAUUUUUCAGCAACUUUCAUGUACCUUCCGUUGACUAAUGCGGAGAGUUUGGACCAUGUUCAACAAACGAACCAGCCCCCACCAAUGCCACAUUUUUCAG